rnacentral:rRNA from 1 species
UACGUAGGGGGCAAGCGUUAUCCGGAAUUACUGGGUGUAAAGGGUGCGCAGGCGGUUUCGCAAGUUUGAUGUGAAACCUAAGGGCUUAACCCAUAGCAUGCAUCGAAAACUACGGGACUAGAGUGCAGGAGAGGAAAGCGGAAUUCCUAGUGUAGCGGUGAAAUGCGUAGAUAUUAGGAAGAACACCAGUGGCGAAGGCGGCUUUCUGGACUGCAACUGACGCUCAGGCACGGAAGCGUGGGGAGCAAAC